UCCACCCUCUAAAAAAUAUUUAUCUGAAAGUAAUAUGAAUUUUACUUUGAUAAAAUUAAAGCAUUCCAGUAAAAUAUCUUUAUUUGUAUAGAUCUAGAUAAAUUAAUUCUCAUUUAUACAGCAUUAAUUUUUAUGAUGGAGUUUUUUGAGUCAUAUUUAAUUUGGUGCGGCGGCAUUGUGUUGUGUAUGACUGUUUUAGGAAUUAUUUUGAAACAGUGUUUUAAGGAUUCAGAAACUGGUGCCACCAAUGUUUACCAGCCAAAUGAUAGGUUGAUUAUUUUACGGACUAUAUUGCAUAUGAAAAUGCCAGGCGAUGGAUGGAGGAUCUUCCUUCUUAUGAAGAUGCUGUUUUACAUCUGUAUCAACCAAAUUAAGUUGGAAACGUUGGAAAUUAUAGCCAAAUAUAACUGUGAUAUUGUAUAUGUACAAUAAAGUGGAAUAUAAAGAUGAUGAUUUAAUAUAAACAAAUAUAUUUUAGAAGUUUUUAUCAUGGCUAAGACUAAUUGAUAGUUAAUACUAUAGAUUACACUUAUUUAUCUUAUCAGAGCAAAAAAAAUCAUUCGUAUUCAUGACUUAAACAUGGAUACAUUUCAAUUGUAUAUUAUAUGGUAUGGUGGAACAAUUACUGUUGUUGCUAUUAUCGUUUUGUUGUAUAAAAGGUGUUGUUUUUAUCGUCACCCAGAGCCAUUUGAGAGGGAAGAUUCUCCAAGGACUAUAGAAGAAGAUUCACCCCCGCAAUAUGACUUAUUCGUCGUUAGUGAUCACGUGACUUUAGAAAAUAAUGGUUCUGAUUUUGAUUAUUACUUGGACUAUCUGAGAUAUAUUACUCAAACAAAUGAAAUUGACUGUUUACCACCUUCUUAUGAAGAAGCCAUUCGAAUGUCAGAAAGACAAAUUUCGGAUACAUAGGUUAAAUAUGUGCAUUGUUAAUUGUUAAAUAAUUCAAGGAUUUGAAUCUGUGAUAUACUCGUAUGAUAAAUAAACGUAUUUUCCGUUUUUA